CAUGUGCCUGUUUUAUCUCAUGAAUCUUCCCUCGAUGCAAUCUAAUUAUGAAGCUCAUCGAUCUGAAGUCAUCAGGGAGGUUUGCUCCCUACAAAAAAAGGGUGCUAUCUGGGAUCAUUUUGAUUAGAAGCUAUAUCAUCAUUGAGAAUAACAAGGAUGUAAUUGGAUAAAACUACCACGAUCCUGUUGGUGGCUGUACUCAGUAUUUAUUAGGAUUUAGAGUAGAUAUUAUCUGUAGGAGUUUGUACUGAAACCGUAUUGCAACGAAAACCUUCUAACAAGUAUUUGAAGAACUUGUCUAUAUUUUUUAGCACAAAGAAUAAACAAGGGCUGGUGAUUCCCUAAUUGUCUAAUCACUCAUUCUACUGGAUUUUUGCAGAUUGCUAUAAUCAUUUCAGAUGGUUUCGGCUUCUCUUGUCAUCCUUAAAGAUGGUCUUAUGACUUAAGCAAAUAAGUACAGAUUAAGUAGUUGAAAAAUCCUAGUAACAUUAUACUCUGUGGAAGAGGUGUUUGAAAGAGCCCAAACGGCCAAGGAGAAAGCAGCCUGUGAAGCAAUAGAAGCUCAGGCAGCAAAAACCUCAUCCUUGACUACCAGUUCGGUUUCACCUUUGGCUGACUAGAAUGCAGAUUCUGAUAGCAAUGACCCUGUUGUAGGUGUAUCAUAUGAUGGAUGACGAUUCUGCUUUAUGUGGAAGUGUAAAUUGCACUUUAUGCUUGGUAAGUCAAUAACAAAAUGGAUCACCUCCAUUCUCUUUGCCAGUUUA